AUGUGGAUCAACGACAUCCAUGGUCACCUCAGUCCGGCUGCUGCUCUUGAGUAUUUUGACCUCUGGUGCCGUCUGCAGGGCAUCGUCCUUUCCCACGAGCCCGACACCAUCUCUUGGUGGUGGACGGAGAACGGAACCUACUCCGCCUUCUCUUGCUAGAACGCCUUAUUCAUCGGCUCUACGUCUUUCGAGCAUUGGCGCCUCAUCUGGAAAUCUGGGGCCCCCCUCUCCGUCAAGUUCUUCCUCUACCUCGCCUCUGUCAACCGGUGUUGGACGGCUGACCGGCUCGCGAGACGCGGUCUACCUCACGAGCCUGCCCGCGUCCUAUGCUCCCAGCACGACGAGACCCUUCACCACCUCUUGAUUGGGUGUGUCUUCUCCCGCAUCAUCUGGCACGACAUCCUUUCCUGGUGCUGCCCCGAGAUUCCCGUGCCGGAUGGUACCCUCGACUUCCUGAGCUAG
rnacentral:rRNA from 1 species